rnacentral:lncRNA from 1 species
GGAUGUGCAGUGGGGAGUGGGGGAGCGAUUUUAGGAGUGAAUUAGGGGAUUAUAGGGGAGUAUAUUCAAAAUCUGAUCAUUUUUUCCUUUUUCGAAAAAAAAAGAGUCAUUUUUCUCUCUAUCUUUCUGACGUUUUCUCCCUCCAUAUCUGUUAAAUUUUUCUUUUUUUUGAUUUUUACUCGGUUGUCUUUUCUUUUCUUUCCUCUACUCCUGCCAAAGUUC